GACGAACGCUGGCGGCGUGCUUAACACAUGCAAGUCGAACGGAAAGGCCCUGCUUGCAGGGUACUCGAGUGGCGAACGGGUGAGUAACACGUGGGUGAUCUGCCCUGCACUUCGGGGUAAGCCUGGGAAACUGGGUCUAAUACCGGAUAGGAGCCAUUUUUAGUGUGAUGGUUGGAAAGUUUUUUGGGUGUAGGAUGAGCUCGCGGCCUAUCAGCUUGUUGGUGGGGUAAUGGCCUACCAAGGCGGCGACGGGUAGCCGGCCUGAGAGGGUGGACGGCCACAUUGGGACUGAGAGACGGCCCAGACUCCUACGGGAGGAAGCAGUGGGGAAGAUUGCACAAUGGGCGCAAGCCUGAUGCAGCGACGCCGCGGGGGGGAUGGCGGCUUUCGGGUUGUAAACUCCUUUCGCUAGGGACGAAGCUUUUUGUGACGGUACCUAGAGAAGAAGCACCGGCUAACUACGUG
rnacentral:rRNA from 1 species